rnacentral:rRNA from 1 species
UACGGAAGGCAGCAGUGGGGAAUAUUGCACAAUGGGCGCAAGCCUGAUGCAGCCAUGCCGCGUGUAUGAAGAAGGCCUUCGGGUUGUAAAGUACUUUCAGUCGUGAGGAAGGUGUUAAGGUUAAUAACCUUAGCAAUUGACGUUAGCGACAGAAGAAGCACCGGCUAACUCCGUGCCAGCAGCCGCGGUAAUACGGAGGGUGCGAGCGUUAAUCGGAAUUACUGGGCGUUAAAGGGCACGCAGGCGGUUAAUUAAGUUGGAUGUGAAAUCCCCGGGCUUAACCUGGGAAUGGCAUUCAAGACUGGUUAGCUAGAGUCUUGUAGAGGGGGUAGAAUUCCAUGUGUAGCGGUGAAAUGCGUAGAGAUGUGGAGGAAUACCGGUGGCGAAGGCGGCCCCUGGACAAAGGACUGACGCUCGAUGUGCGAAAGCGUGGGGAGCAAACGAGGAUUAGAUACC